rnacentral:rRNA from 1 species
UGGGGAAUCUUGGACAAUGGGGGCAACCCUGAUCCAGCCAUGCCGCGUGAGUGAUGAAGGCCUUAGGGUCGUAAAGCUCUUUCGCCUGUGAAGAUAAUGACGGUAGCAGGUAAAGAAACCCCGGCUAACUCCGUGCCAGCAGCCGCGGUAAUACGGAGGGGGUUAGCGUUGUUCGGAAUUACUGGGCGUAAAGCGCACGUAGGCGGACCAGAAAGUUGGGGGUGAAAUCCCGGGGGCUCAACCCCGGAACUGCCUCCAAAACUAUUGGUCUAGAGUUCGAGAGAGGUGAGUGGAAUUCCAAGUGUAGAGGUGAAAUUCGUAGAUAUUCGGAGGAACACCAGUGGCAAGGCGCCUAAACUGGUCCGGUACUGACGCUGAGGAACCGAAAAGCGUGGGGGAAGCAAACAGGAUUAGAUACCCUGGUAGUCCACGCCGUAAAACGAUGUCAAACUAGCCGUUGGGGAACUUGA